GGGGACGUAGCUCAGUUCGGCAGAGCACCUGGUUUGCAACCAGGGGGUCGGCGGUUCAAAUCCGCUCGUCUCCA
rnacentral:tRNA from 1 species